rnacentral:tRNA from 1 species
UGGCGUAUGUAACCGAAUGGUCAGGUAUGCGGAUCAUAACCGCAAGUAUGGGGGUUCGAGUCCCUCUGCGCCAACCA